rnacentral:rRNA from 1 species
GACGAACGCUGGCGGCGUGCUUAACACAUGCAAGUCGAACGGAAAGGCCCUGCUUUUGUGGGGUGCUCGAGUGGCGAACGGGUGAGUAACACGUGAGUAACCUGCCCUUGACUUUGGGAUAACUUCAGGAAACUGGAGCUAAUACCGGAUAGGAGCUCCUGCUGCAUGGUGGGGGUUGGAAAGUUUCGGCGGUUGGGGAUGGACUCGCGGCUUAUCAGCUUGUUGGUGGGGUAGUGGCUUACCAAGGCUUUGACGGGUAGCCGGCCUGCGAGGGUGACCGGCCACAUUGGGACUGAGAUACGGCCCAGACUCCUACGGGAGGCAGCAGUGGGGAAUAUUGCACAAUGGGCGGAAGCCUGAUGCAGCAACGCCGCGUGCGGGAUGACGGCCUUCGGGUUGUAAACCGCUUUCGCCUGUGACGAAGCGUGAGUGACGGUAAUGGGUAAAGAAGCACCGGCUAACUACGUG